rnacentral:rRNA from 1 species
AGCGAACGCUGGCGGCAGGCUUAACACAUGCAAGUCGAGCGGGCACUUCGGUGUCAGCGGCAGACGGGUGAGUAACACGUGGGAACGUACCCUUUGGUUCGGAAUAACGCUGGGAAACUAGCGCUAAUACCGGAUACGCCCUUUUGGGGAAAGGCUUGCUGCCGAAGGAUCGGCCCGCGUCUGAUUAGCUAGUUGGUGGGGUAAUGGCCUACCAAGGCGACGAUCAGUAGCUGGUCUGAGAGGAGGAUCAGCCCCACUGGGACUGAGACACGGCCCAGACUCCACCGGAGGGAGGAGGGGGGAAUAUUGGACAAUGGGCGCAAGCCUGAUCCAGCCAUGCCGCGUGAGUGAUGAAGGCCUUAGGGUUGUAAAGCUCUUUUGUCCGGGACGAUAAUGACGGUACCGGAAGAAUAAGCCCCGGCUAACUUCGUG